AACGGCCGUACCAUGAUGAAUAUACCGGUUGUCGUUAGAUCACCGAAGUAAAGCAUCAUUGGGCGCGGUCAGUACUUGGGUGGGUGACCACUUGGGAACACUGCGUGCCGUU
rnacentral:rRNA from 1 species